rnacentral:misc_RNA from 1 species
CCACAAAACCCAUAAAGCUUACACCCCCUAAGUCCUAAACCAAAUAAAAAUCCCUCAGUCAAUCGAUGUAGAUUCGACAAAUAAAAGAGGAGAAGGCAAAUCACCACGAUAUGAGCAUGCAAGCGAUUAAAUCAGACAGGAGUUAGGAGCUGGUAAAGCUGAGGCUUAGGCUCGGAAUUCAUGCCGAUGAUGAUGACCAAAGGAAUGAAUCCAUAAUGAGUGAUGACUUUAGCCUUCUUCAUGGCCCAAGUGCUCCACUCCUUCAAGCACUGCGAGGUCGAUUUCUCCUCCAUGCCCUUUGAUCCCUUGCCGCCGCUGCCUUUGCCUUUGCUCUUGAGCGAAACCCUAGA